UGGGGAAUAUUGCACAAUGGGCCCAAGCCUGAUGCAGCCAUGCCGCGUGUAUGAAGAAGGCCUUCGUGUUGUAAAGUACUUUCAGCGGGGAGGAAGGGAGUAAAGUUAAUACCUUUGCUCAUUGACGUUACCCGCAGAAGAAGCACCGGCUAACUCCGUGCCAGCAGCCGCGGUAAUACGGAGGGUGCAAGCGUUAAUCGGAAUUACUGGGCGUAAAGCGCACGCAGGCGGUUUGGUAAGUCAGAUGUGAAAUCCUCGGGCUCAACCUGGGAACUGAAUCUGAUACUGGCAAGCUUGAGUCUCGUAGAGGGGGGUAGAAUUCCAGGUGUAGCGGUGAAAUGCGUAGAGAUCUGGAGGAAUACCGGUGGCGAAGGCGGCCCCCUGGACGAAGACUGACGCUCAGGUGCGAAAGGGUGGGGAGCAAACAGG
rnacentral:rRNA from 1 species